CAGGUCCCCGCGCGGCUUCCGUCCUGGUUAAGAUGGCGACGCCCGGGGUCCUGCGGAGGGGCCGCGGAGGGUGCUGCCGCCCUAGGCGAGGUCGGGCCGCCCCGCGCGGAAGAACCGCCCCCAGCAGCACCCCAACCACCGCUUAGCUAAGAAUCCCAGGCCACGCCCGGGACAGCGGCCGCAGCAUGGAUUCUUCCAGUUCGUCUAGCUCUUGCUUCUCCGUCGGCUCCACCAGUCCCGGCGCUGUCGUGCUCCUCUACUCGAAGGAACUCAAAAAGUGGGAUCAGUUUGAAGAUGCUUUGGAGGAGAGGAGGCAUGUCAGUGACCUGAAAUUUGCCAUGAAAUGCUACACACCUCUUGUCUACAAGGGAAUUACUCCUUGCAAGCCAAGUGACAUUAAAUGUAGUGUUCUCAAUUCUGAAGAGAUUCAUUAUGUCAUUAAACAGCUUUCCAGGGAAUCCCUUCAAUCUGCCGAGGUCCUGCGAGAGGAAGCCUGUGGCAUCCUGGAUGAAAUGAACCACAAACUGCGUCUGGGAGCCAUUCGGUUCUGUGCCUUUGCCCUGAGCAAAAUAUUUAAACAAAUUUUCUCGAAAGUGUGUGUAAAUGAAGAAGGUAUUCAGAAACUACAGCGAGCCAUCCAGGAGCAUCCUGUUGUUCUGUUGCCCAGUCACCGAAGUUACAUUGACUUUCUGAUGCUGUCUUUUCUUUUAUACAACUACGACUUACCUGUGCCGGUCAUAGCAGCAGGAAUGGACUUCCUAGGAAUGAAGAUGGUUGGUGAGCUGCUGCGAAUGUCGGGGGCGUUCUUCAUGCGGCGGACCUUCGGUGGCGAUCAGCUCUACUGGGCGGUGUUCUCUGAAUAUGUGAAAACUAUGUUACGGAAUGGUUAUGCUCCUGUUGAAUUUUUCCUCGAAGGGACAAGAAGCCGCUCCGCCAAGACACUGACUCCAAAAUUUGGUCUUCUGAAUAUUGUGAUGGAACCGUUUUUUAAAAGAGAAGUUUUUGAUACCUACCUUGUUCCAAUCAGCAUCAGUUACGAUAGGAUAUUGGAAGAAACUCUGUAUGCUUAUGAGCUCCUAGGGGUUCCUAAGCCGAAAGAAUCUACAACUGGAUUGUUGAAAGCCAGGAGGAUUCUCUCUGAAAAGUUUGGAAACAUUCAUGUGUACUUCGGAGACCCUGUGUCACUUCGAUCUCUGGCAGCUGGGAGGAUGGGUCGGAGCCCAUAUAACUUGGUUCCAAGAUAUAUUCCUCAGAAACAGUCGGAGGACAUGCAUGCCUUUGUCACUGAAGUUGCCUACAAAAUGCAACUCCUGCAAAUUCAAAACCUGGUUCUGAGCCCGUGGCCACUAAUAGUUGCUGUUCUGCUUCAGAACCGGCCAUCCAUGGACUUUGAUGCCCUAUUGGAAAAGACUUUAUGGCUGAAAGGCUUAGCCCAGGCCUUCGGGGGCUUUCUCACUUGGCCUGAUAAUGAACUUGCUGAAGAAGUGGUCCAGUCCAGCCUUCUUCUGCAUUCCAACAUCGUCAGCCUCGUCAAAGACCGGGUGACUCUGAAAGUGGACUCUGGAGGCCCAGAAGUGGUCGAUGGGCUUGUCUUCCAGCACGUCACUCUGCUCAUGUGCUCGGCUUACAGGAACCAGCUGCUCAACGUUUUUGUCCGUCCUUCCUUAGUAGCUGUGGCAUUGCAGAUGACGCCUGGGUUCAGGAAAGAGGAUGUCUACAGUUGCUUUCGCUUCCUAUGCAAUGUUUUUUCAGAUGAGUUCAUCUUUCUUCCAGGAGAUGCGCUAAAGGACUUUGAAGAAGGCUGUUACCUGCUUUGUAAAAGUGAGGCCACACAGGUGACGACAAGGGACAUCCUAGUUACAGAAAAAGGAAAUACUGUGCUAGAGUUUUUAAUAGGACUCUUUAAACCUUUUGUGGAAUCUUACCAGAUAAUUUGCAAAUACCUCUUGAACGAAGAAGAAGGCCACUUCACUGAGAAACAGUACUUGGUGAACGUUAGAAUAUUCACAGGUCAGCUUCUCCAUCAAGGUGCCUCACAGUGUUACGAUGUAUUAUCCUCCGAUGUACAAAAAAAUGCCUUAGCAGCUUUUGUGAGGCUCGGUGUGGUGGAGAAGAAGAAGGUAAAUAAUGAUUAUAUAUUUACUGUGAAUGAACCUGCCACAACCAAGUUAGAAGAAACGCUUGAAUACGUGACCUUGGAACUCGAUUUUGAAUUUGGUGAGAGGGGCAUAAACUAAAACAAACCCCGAAGCCCUCGUCGUGAGGACGACGGGAUUGAGUUCUUCCUCUCAGAAGGCAGAUACGUGGUAAGACACCAGUAGGAAAACCGGCAACUGCAAAGCUUUAAUGAUUGCCAAACGGUUACGGAAAAAUUGGUCAUAUAACUACUGUCAUCCAAGGACUCGUAUUACAACAAAGAAGGAAGCAAAGGAAGAGACCAUCUUCUCGUCCUUCAUAAGGUGUCAAGAACGGCGGGCUUAGUAGAGAGGAAGAGUGACCAAUUUAAGCAAUCCGUGAAAUCUCCACGUUGGUUAAAAAGGCAUUUGUGUCCAACUCCACGUGUGUUUUAAAAUAAAACAGGCUUUCGGAAACAUGUUUGGAAAAACAAAGCCCAGCUCCUAUUUCACUAAUACUUUUUAACUUACUACAUGUAUUAAACUGUUACGUUGACUUCUGAAUUAAAGUGCAGCAUCGAGUCUAAAGGCUCUGGCUAUCAAAAGAAAACUACUAGAAAGGGCAUAUCUGAGACUUCUCCUGGCUUUCUUUAAUUAAAGUUGCC